UGGGGAAUUUUGGACAAUGGGCGAAAGCCUGAUCCAGCAAUGCCGCGUGUGUGAAGAAGGCCUUCGGGUUGUAAAGCACUUUUGUCCGGAAAGAAAUCCUUGGCUCUAAUACAGUCGGGGGAUGACGGUACCGGAAGAAUAAGCACCGGCUAACUACGUGCCAGCAGCCGCGGUAAUACGUAGGGUGCAAGCGUUAAUCGGAAUUACUGGGCGUAAAGCGUGCGCAGGCGGUUUGCUAAGACCGAUGUGAAAUCCCCGGGCUCAACCUGGGAACUGCAUGGUGACUGGCAGGCUAGAGUAUGGCAGAGGGGAGUAGAAUUCCACGUGUAGCAGUGAAAUGCGUAGAGAUGUGGAGGAAUACCGAUGGCGAAGGCAGCCCCCUGGGCCAAUACUGACGCUCAUGCACGAAAGCGUGGGGGA
rnacentral:rRNA from 1 species